GUGGGGAAUCUUAGACAAUGGGGGCAACCCUGAUCUAGCCAUGCCGCGUGAGUGAUGAAGGCCUUAGGGUCGUAAAGCUCUUUCGCUGGGGAAGAUAAUGACGGUACCCAGUAAAGAAACCCCGGCUAACUCCGUGCCAGCAGCCGCGGUAAUACGGAGGGGGUUAGCGUUGUUCGGAAUUACUGGGCGUAAAGCGCGCGUAGGCGGAUUGGAAAGUUGGGGGUGAAAUCCCGGGGCUCAACCCUGGAAUGGCCUUCAAAACUCCCAGUCUUGAGGUCGAGAGAGGUGAGUGGAAUGCCGAGUGUAGAGGUGAAAUUCGUAGAUAUUCGGAGGAACACCAGUGGCGAAGGCGGCUCACUGGCUCGAUACUGACGCUGAGGUGCGAAAGCGUGGGGAGCAAACAGGAUUAGAAACCCUAGUAGUCC
rnacentral:rRNA from 1 species